CCGAGAUUCACCUUCUCUGUUUUUCCGAUGGCUUGCUACAUAUCCUUUAAGUAAGCAUUGCAACCACCCCACCCUCCAAAAUUGGACAGUUUGAACAGGCAGGAAGCAACAUUUUUCAUGCAACGAUCAUGUGCUUCAUGAUCCUCCUGCAAACAUACUGAUGUCUUCUUCCCAAGAUCUAGACAACGAGCAUCAUCUUUAACCAGUAUUUUCAAGAGGCCCUUUGGUCUCAAGUGAGACCAAUCAACUAAUAUCAAACGUACUGUGUGUCUGGCUUGAUAACAGGUGCCAACAGGCACACAGGAAUAAAACACCAUUUCCACCCUCAAGAAAUGUAUGUCCUAGUACUACCUCAUCUGCACAGUGAAAUCAGAGUCCCUGUUCACAAGGCACUUAGGGUCUGGUAAAGAGAAAGCAGCACAGGUAGGAGGACACAGAAAGACACAGUUUUCAAGGCAUAAUUAC
rnacentral:lncRNA from 1 species